UGAGGAACAUGACCUUCGGCGGGGGAUAGCCGGCCCAACGGCCGGGUAAUACCGCGUACGACCACAUGGGGACAUCCCUGAGUGGUGAAAGCAGCAAUGCGCCGAUGGAGUGCCUCGCGGCCUAUCAGCUAGUUGGUGAGGUAACGGCUCACCAAGGCGACGACGGGUAGCUGGUCUGAGAGGAUGGCCAGCCACAUUGGGACUGAGACGCGGCCCAGACUCUACGGGAG
rnacentral:rRNA from 1 species